rnacentral:rRNA from 1 species
AGUGAACGCUGGCGGUGGGCCUAACACAUGCAAGUCGAACGGCAGCACAGGAGAGCUUGCUCUCUAGGUGGCGAGUGGCGGACGGGUGAGGAAUACAUCGGAAUCUGCCCAGUCGUGGGGGAUAACGUAGGGAAACUUACGCUAAUACCGCAUACGACCUUCGGGUGAAAGAGGGGGAUCGCAAGACCUCUCGCGAUUGGAUGAGCCGAUGUCGGAUUAGCUAGUUAGCGGGGUAAUGGCCCACCAAGGCGACGAUCCGUAGCUGGUCUGAGAGGAUGAUCAGCCACACUGGAACUGAGACACGGUCCAGACUCCUACGGGAGGCAGCAGUGGGGAAUAUUGGACAAUGGGCGCAAGCCUGAUCCAGCCAUACCGCGUGGGUGAAGAAGGCCUUCGGGUUGUAAAGCCCUUUUGUUGGGAAAGAAAUCUUUCAGGCUAUUACCCUGGGAGGAUGACGGUACCCAAAGAAUAAGCACCGGCUAACUUCGUG